AUGCAUCGACCAUCUUCAAGCUCAAUGGAAAAUAGGGAAGUGACUGUUAAUUCAUCCUCUUCGAUUCCCAAAUUUGACCAAGAAGUUAGCCGAAUGGACUUGAUGAAAAUGUUUGUAGCCAUGAAACUUCCAUUUCAAAAGGUAGAGCAUCCGUAUUUACAUAGGGUUAUUUAUGGCUUACAACUGAAAUUUAAGUUCCCAUCACGCAAUACAUUGACGCGUGAUAUUUUGAAGAAUUGGGAAGUGGAGAAAGCAAAGAUGAAGAGUACUUUGUCAAAAAAUUGUCGUUGA